AAAGCAAUGACUGUUAUGAAACAGUGGAAUCGAACAGCAUUUGACAGAAAUAUGUGAAACCUGUAUAUACCCAAUCAUUCAUAUGACAAUGUUGGGAAAUGUAUCGGUAUAUCCUAUUCUUUUUUAUGGAAUAACAAAACUGAGAUUGUCGACUCAACUCAACUGCACCGUUCCGUUCCAUAUCUGGAUUCAUUUGAACUAAAAAAUGACAAUUUGUUGCGGAAGGCGCAAUAUAUGUAAUCGAAUAUUUAAAAUUUUAAUAAUCUAAUAAUAAUAAUAAUAAUAAUAAUAUGAAAUUUUAAUAAUGAAUCAUGAAGAGCGCCAAUGCUGAAAUCUUUAAGUUCAAAUAAAUAAAAUAACCGUAAUCGUAUUUUGUAAAAGCACAAGCUAAUUUAAUAAACGUGAGCAUUGUUUCAAUGCCGUUUCUUCACA